rnacentral:rRNA from 1 species
GAUGAACGCUAGCGGCAGGCCUAAUACAUGCAAGUCGAACGGUGUCUUCGGACAUAGCGGCGCACGGGUGCGUAACACGUAUGCAACCUACCUUACAUUGGGGAUAGCCUUUCGAAAGGGAGAUUAAUACCGCAUAAGACGGUAGCUGGGCAUCCAGCAGCUGUUAAAGAUUUAUCGAUGUAAGCUGGGCAUGCGUCCAAUUAGCUAGUUGGUGAGGUAACGGCUCACCAAGGCAAUGAUUGGUAGGGGAACGGAGAGGUCAAUCCCACACACGGGCACGGAGAUACGGGCCAGACUCCUACGGGAGGCAGCAGUAGGGAAUAUUAGGCAAUGGACGCAAGUCUGACCCAGCCAUGCCGCGUGCAGGAUGAAGGCGUUAUGCGUUGUAAACUGCUUUUAUACAGGGAGAAACGACUCUUGCGAGAUGCAUUGACGGUACUGUAUGAAUAAGCACCGUCUAACUCCGUGCCAGCCGCCGCAGUAACAC